rnacentral:rRNA from 1 species
UACGAAGGGGGCUAGCGUUGCUCAGAAUCACUGGGCGUAAAGCGCACGUAGGCGGCUUUUUAAGUCGGUGGUGAAAUCCUGGAGCUCAACUCCAGAACUGCCUCCGAUACUGAAAGGCUCGAGUCCGGGAGAGGUGAGUGGAACUGCGAGUGUAGAGGUGAAAUUCGUAGAUAUUCGCAAGAACACCAGUGGCGAAGGCGGCUCACUGGCCCGGUACUGACGCUGAGGUGCGAAAGCGUGGGGAGCAAACAGG